UUCUCCAACUCCUAUUGCUCAGCAUUUAACCCUUACUAAUGCACCUAACCUGCACAUCCUAUGGUUAAUCCACCCUAACCUAGACAGACGCCAGCCAGACAUCAUAAAUUAACGCAGUUCCAUUUGCCAGCAUUUGGCCCACAUUCUUCCAAACCUUUGCUAUUCACAUAUGCAGAUGCCUUUUAGAUUGUGUCAUUAUUUCAGCCUCCACCACUUCCUCUGGCAGCAGGUUCCACACCUCCACUACCCUCUGUGAGAAAAAAAUUCUGCUCAUUUCCCUUUCCCCAUUCACCUCAGACCUAUGUUCUUCUAGUUCUGGACUCCCCUACCCUGGUGAAAACACCUUGCCCUGAUCCAUGCCCCUUAUAUACUUUUAUAAGGUCACCCUUCAGCCUCUGAUGCUCCAGUGAAAAUAUCCCUGGCCUAUCAGCCUCUCCCUGUACCUCAAACAUUCCAACUCUGUCAACAAGCCUUAUAAAGUUUUCCCACCCCUUUCAAAGUUUCACAACACCUUUCCUAUUGCAGGAAGACCAGAACUGAAUGCAGUAUUCCAAAAGUGGCCUAACCACAUGUCCUGCACAGCCGCAACAGCCUCCCAAAUCCCGUACUCAAUGCUCUGACCCAUAAAGGAAAGCAUACCAAGGUCUCUUUGUUUUGCAACACUCCCCUUAACUGUUCAAGUCCUGCCUGGAUUGAUUGACCAAAACGCAAACCUCACAUUUCUCUAAAUUAAACUCAACCUGCCACUCUUUGGCCGAUCAGCCCAUCCGAUCAAUUCUCAUUUAUAUCUCUUUCCACCCUUAUUCCAGAGAAGCUGAAGAUCUCCAUCCCACACACUCUCCCUCCAUUUUCAGUUUGCUGAACCUAAUCCCAGCUGUACCACAUCCUGAAGGGUCUGGUUCAUGCUGAUUAACAGGGCCAUACUCACCAGGAGGGGGAUCUAAUUGAAACAUACCAAAUACUGAACGACCUGGACAUUGGGAAGAUAUUUCAAUUGGUAAGAGAGACUAGGACCAGAAGACCUUUUAGAAUGGAGAAAAGGAAAAACUUCAGCCAGAGAGUGGUGAAUCUAUGGAAUUCCUUGACACAGAAGGCUGUGGAGGCCAGGUCACUGGGUAUAUUUAAAACUGAGACAGCAAAGGCUAUAACUUCACACUGUGGGACUGUUUGCCAAUUGAGACGCAGACCUGGAUCAACAUUUCCUGAGACUGCUCCUCCCUGGAUUCACUGCCUUUACAUUCAGUUGCUGCGAGUCAACAAUUGAAGCCCACAAUGAAAUAAGAAAUUGAAAAGAGAGUGCCGUACUCCCAGAUGUUAAACAGAGGAAGGAGGUUGCACUCUGGAGUGAAGCUCAAUCUUCAUUCAAAGAGAGAGGUGCAGCAGCAGCUUCAGAAGCUCAUGGGACAACUUCCGCAUUCAGACAAUAGGGGAUGUUCUCAUUGGCAGGAGGACUACUCUCCGUUCGGUCCUCCAAGGCUCCCCAUUGGCUUCUAAAGAAGAUCGCCCCCGUUGCAGCGGACAGCUAGGAGCAUGCGCCGUUCUUGCUGACACCGAGGAGCAUGCGCCGUACACUCGGUGGCAAUGCUGCGAUUACUGACAAAUUUAAGUCUCCAAAUGCCAAUAGGAGAAAAAGAAACGGUAGAACCAAUAUUUCUUUUCCCCCGUGACUCGACCUAACCAAACAUGCUCCUCACUAUUUUUGCUAGUCACCUUGCCUGCACCCCUCAUUAUUUUACAAAUCUCAAUAAGGUCACCCCUCAACCUCCUCCACUCCAGAGAAUAAAGUCUCAGCCUCUCCUUAUAACUCAAACCCUUCAGUCCUGGCAACAUCCUGGUAACUCUUUACCGAACCCUCUCUAAUAGUAUUCUUCCCAUAACAGAGCCACCAGAACUGUACUCUGUUGUAAAAGUGGCCUCACCAACAUCCUGUACAAUUUCAAAACGAUGUCCCAACUCCAACAUUCAACGGUGUGUACAAUGAAGGCAAGUGGGCUAAACAACUCUUAACCACUUAGUCUACCAGUGAUGCAACUUUCAAAGAACUAUGUACCUGAACCAUACCUCCAUGUCUCUGUUCUACAACAUAACCCAGGGCCCUGCCAGUAACUGCAAUUCCUCCCCUUCUUUUUUUAAGCAAAAUACAAUUCCUCACUUUUAUCUAUACCUCUCUCCCGUACACAUGCUCUCUCUCAAACACAGACACACACCACUCAACACUCUCACAGGUUUAUACUCCUCAUACAUUACCAUGCAUGCACACAGGCAAACAUAUACUCUUAGGCAAACUCUCACACACAAAGUCACACACACACACACACUCUGAUGCAUGCACAGACACACACAGGUCAAUGGGGUAAAUUUGCAUUUGCAGAUACAUUCAAUUUUGAUCAAAAAAAGCACACAAUCGGCAGGCAGUCAAUCCAUGUAAUAUUUUGUACAUUCCUACUUUGGAAAUUCAAGAUUGGGAUACAGACAGAGUCAAACCUCACAUUCUUCAUUUACUGAGCUGAGAUGUCACUGAUUUUUAUAAAACCUUAAGUCAUCUCAAGAAUGUGACUCAAAAGUACUUCUGAGCUUUACAUAUUAAUUACAAAACCCACAACCCAUUCUAGAAGAUGAAAGACUAAACCACAAUCUUGAUUUGUUCAAUAUAUCCUAUCAGUAGUAUGACACUGAUCGGUUGCGAUAUGUUCCUGCUCCAUAGCUACCCGAUGAAAGAGCAGCACUAGGAAAGCUACUGCUUCCAAAUAAAUCUGUUGGAUGAUAA